rnacentral:lncRNA from 10 species
GGGAGCCUGAAGAUUGAAUUCAAUUAUAUAACCAAGGAUUCAGUCAAUCAUGCCUACUUACUGAAACCCCACUAAAAAUUCUGAACACCCGAAGCUCACAUGUCACCUGGACACCUGAAAUUACCAUCAAUGGUUGGUGAAACACACUGAGGCCCCGGGAAGCUCCCAGACUUCAUCCUGCUUCAGCUCCUGUCAUCCUGUGCUGUGGAAUUCCUAAACCUCUUAGCUUGAGCCCUGCAACGAUCUGAUUUUCACUCCGUUCUAGGAAGGUUCCAUUCUUCAGUGUGGAGCACAUAUAAGUAUGCAUCUAUAUUGGAGAAAUGAAUGCUAAACAAACGAGAUUGGAAAAGCAUUGGAAAAUUUGUCCAAAGUCACUCAACAGAUUCAUGAUGGAUCCUGGAUUCACAGCCAGCUUUACUUGGCAAUAAAAUUCAAGUCCUGUUCACAUCACAACACAUUUUUACCGAAAGAAAAAUAUGAUGUGUAGAUGUUUGGAGGCAUCCUAUCUUAAUGAGGCUUUUGUUAGAAAGAGUUUUCUUAAAAUUACAGGGUUGGGGAAAUAAAAAAUGUUUGUUGCUCAGAUUAACAAAAAAAUGGUAUAUAGAAAAUAAAGCUAAGAAAGGAAAGUGCAGACAACCAAGAGACUAGAAUUUUCAAUAAAUGGCAAAAUUGUGGUGUUCUGUGGUUACCUCUUGAAGAUUUGGCCUGAAUCAUGCAACAAUUGCCCCUUACCCUCAGUCCUCAAAUUACAAUAGUGAAAGAGGUUUCUAUAGGUAUUAUAUUUGAAUCUGCUAUAUUUUGUUUAUUACUUGCAAGGACAUAUAGGAGAGCAAAAGUUUUCCCUCUAAUUUCUUAGGUUUAGUAACUGGAACUUGUGAAUUAAACUGGCAAAAUACAGAUUAACAGGAGAAGAGUCAUAGACAUUUUAUUUUAAAUUUCAUAUGCAAUGUAGUUCCAGAGAAAAGAAGUGAAAGCCUGAAGAAGCAAUUAGACUUGAGGAGUUAUAUCUUUAACAAAGGGUGGUGAGUGUAGAGAAGUGACUAGAUUUUUUUUAAGAUGGUUUUAGGCUUCCAAGGGUGAUAAACCAUGGGAAGGAAAAUACAUGAGGGAAACUAAUGGUAUAUAGGAGUUAUUUAGUAAGGUUUGUUUACACAGACUAAUCUCAGUGGUAAGAACGGUUUUUCUCCUUUUUCUGGUCAGGGGAAGGAGAAGGGACACCAUCACAAUGGGAAUUUGUGCUUUGCUGGUAGACAAAUAGGAGCAGAGCAGAGAACUUCUUUCUCUCAAUUGUCUUCAGCUCAGAAUAAUCCUUAUGCCAAACAGGCAUAAUUUGGAAUUACAUAUUUUCAUCCUCUCCACACACAAGCUUCCGUAUAAAGUUCAAAGACAGUAGUAUUUUCUUAUAAUUCACUCUGCCCCAAAUAUUAACUAAGAUGACAUUCUUUUUCCAGCUUGAUUCUGCAACAUUCACUUCCAGAAACUUUAUCACUCUUAAUCCUGGAUUGAAGGAAAAUAUUUGAAUGUGAUAAAGGAUAUAUAUUUUAAAAAGAAAGGAACUAUAAUAAAAGGCAAGAUUCAGAAAUUAUGUUGUAAUCUGUGACUUAGUGCAAUUUAGUCCUUGAAUUUCUUGUGUGCAAUUUAUUGAAGCUAUCUUAUUAUAUGUUAAUUCUGUGUCUUCUUUGCCCUCUCUUUUUGUAAAAAUUUUCUUUUUCUGAAUUUUUUUCCAGAGUCAAUCAUUGAUCUUCUUGAUAACAUUCAUUUCCCUUGGUGAACUAACUUUGGUUCAUCGCUUUAUCAUUCUUCUCCAGGCUGUUUUUGAAGGGUCUGUGAGCUGAGAAUGGUUUUUAAUAGAUAAAUGCUCACAAUCAAUUUGGGGAUAAGAAAUAUUAUUUUGAAUCUCAGUUACAAAAAAUGUUAUCCUUCAUAAAAUAAUUCAUUUUUUUCUCAGUAAUAAAAAUGUAUUUCAAAAAUAUGGUGUCCUUAUUAUAUUUUAAAUUUUGCCAAUAAAAAUAAUAAAAAUUGAUUUUCUCUAAUUAUGUAAGUACCUAGAUGAUUUUUAAAAUUUUGUCUCUUGACUUAUACAAAGCCUAAAAUAUUUAUAACUGCC